rnacentral:lncRNA from 1 species
GGUGGGGGUAGGGGUGGGGUCCUGCUCCCACAAAGUUAUAUUUCACCUCCACCUAAUUAGACAAUGACUAUGGAAACCUUAACAAGGAUACGCUUAGAAAGAGAUAAAUGCCUAAAUGCCGCAAGGAAAGAAUAGAAUAGAACGGCCUAGAAAGCGAUAGGAGGCUACGGGGUAGGGGGUGAGGGGUGGGGCGCUCCUUAGACAACAUGGCGGGAGGGAGAAAGCGUCUCAGGGGUGAGGCACUCCAGCGCUUUGCUGGGCGGACACAUGAAGCUUCCUUUCUCCCGCAGCUCUGUAGAAAAAGGCUCAACCGAUCCCAACCAUUCGAAGGAAUCCGUUGGAUGAGUGGGAGGCCUUGCGUUUAUUAGACUCCCUCCAGUGUAGUCGGAACAAGUGUUCGUUUUACUUUCUUCAGUAUUUGAGAUGAGAUAAUCUCCUUCCUGACUUAAAUUUUGUGCGUGCGUGCGAGAGAAACAUCUGAAUCGAGAGGGACUUAAUGAGAAAAGCUUGGUCCCCUCCUUACCAACUGUAGCACCUUGAAGCCCUGCAAGUUUUCCAACAUACAAGGAGGAGAUCAAAUCCACUUGCCUUAUAGACAAGGAGGCUCAUUCCUCAAGCCCGGCUGUUGUGAAGGGGGUUAUGAUAAACACGGAUGUGCAGAAGACCUGGGUUCAGUUCCCGGCACCCACGUGUGGCUCACAAUCACCUGUCACUUCAGCUCCAGACGAUUUGACUCUCUCUUCUGACCUCUACAGAUACAAGGCACAAAUGCGGCUCCUACUGGUUACAUGGAGACAUAGUGUCUGGCAAAGGAGUGGAUCAUCUGAAGACCUUGGUAUUAGAAUGAGAACUAGACCUCAGGGAGGAGGCUUCCGGCUCAGCACCAGAACGAGUCUUCUAAGUUCUGUCUCUGAAGUUUGUGAUGUCUUCAGUAACAAAGCUUACCCUCCAGUGUUUGGAGAUUAAAGAUGAAAACCAGCUGUUGAUUGUGAGAAAAUGCAUCCAGGUUCAUAAAUCCGGACUCCAAGUGUAGUGACCAAAGUGGAGGUGCUGUGGAGUGUAAUCAUCAGAAGACCAGAUGGGCCUCUUAUAUUCUCAUCUGCAUGAAACCCCCCCCCCCUUACUUCUAGCCUUACCACAUUGAGGAUUUUAUAUAGUCAUUCAUUUGUUUAGACAGGCUCUCACAAUACAGCCUAGGUUGUCCAAAGCUCACUAUAUAUCCCAGCUAACAGUGAACUACUCACACUACCCCUGCCUCAGCCUUCUGGGUGCUAGGAUUAGAGCCAUUAAGCCACAACCCAUGACAACUUCAAAUAAUUUUUCCAAAUCCAUUUCCUCAUCUCUGAGGUGAGGGGCUGAUGCUAAAGCAUAAAUCAUAAGGUGAGUUUAGAAAAGGAGAUGGCGAGACCCAUAGCAAAUGCUAUCAAAAGGUGGACAGCAUCCACCAUGGGAGUUUGGGAGUAAACUGAUUUCAUGGGUCACAGAUGAUGAAGAGGAUAAUGGAGAAUUUUUGUUGUGGGAGGAAGUCAUGUGGUUACAUGUGGAAGCCAUGAACAGGUGUACAGGGUACCAAUACAAAAUAUUUCCUGUUGUGGAUCAUGAUCAAUAAAGUUAGGUCAGCAUUAUGGUCUAUUACUUUUGCCCACUUAUCAUUUUGUUUGAUUUUUUUCUCAUGGUUUAGAAUGUAUCUCAUUUUCUUACUGCCAUUUUGGUAGUAACAUGGCCAUCGCCUCACAUAAGAAUAACACUCCCACAAAACUAUGCCUUCUCCAUCCUUCCAGCCAUGGCAGCCAUGAUACGCAUGC